rnacentral:misc_RNA from 1 species
CAGAGUUACUCAACUCCCUAAACCAUUGUGAACGUUACCUAAACCGUUGCUUCGGCGGGCGGCACCCGGGUUAUCCACCCGGGUGCCCCUCGGCCCCACCGCGGGCGCCCGCCGGAGGUCACCAAACUCUUGAUACUUUAUGGCCUCUCUGAGUCUUCUGUACUGAAUAAGUCA